GGGCCCGCACAAGCGGUGGAGCAUGUGGUUUAAUUCGAUGCAACGCGAAGAACCUUACCAGGACUUGACAUACUACAAAUUCUUUUGAGAAAAAGAAGUGCCUUCGGGAAUGUAGAUACAGGUGGUGCAUGGCUGUCGUCAGCUCGUGUCGUGAGAUGUUGGGUUAAGUCCCGCAACGAGCGCAACCCUUAUUUUUAGUUACCAAUUCGUUGGGUUCUCUAGAAAGACUGCCGGUGACAAACCGGAGGAAGGUGAGGAUGACGUCAAGUCAGCAUGCCCCUUAUGUCCUGGGCUACACACGUGCUACAAUGGCAGUGACAGAGGGACGCUACCAGGUGACUGGAUGCAAAUCUCAAAAAGCUGUCUCAGUUCGGAUUGUUGUCUGCAACUCGACAACAUG
rnacentral:rRNA from 1 species